rnacentral:miRNA from 1 species
UGAGAUGAUGAAACUUGACAC